GACGAACGCUGGCGGCGUGCUUAACACAUGCAAGUCGAACGGUGAAGCGCCUUCCUUUUUGGUGGGUGUGUAUGAGUGGCGAACUGGUGAGUAACACGUGAGUAACCUGCUCCCUUCUUCUGGAUAACCGCAUGAAAGUGUGGCUAAUACGGGAUAUUCUGGGUCUGUCGCAUGAUUGGUCUGGGACAGAUUUUGUUUCGGUGGGGGAUGGGCCCGCGGCCUAUCAGCUUGUUGGUGGGGUGAUGGCCUACCAAGGCGGUGACGGGUAGCCGGCCUGAGAGAGUGGACGGACUGGCACGGAGACAGACACCGGACACACUCGGGCGGGAGGCGGCGGUGAGGAAUAUCGAACAGUGGGAGCAAGACGGAUGCAGCGCGGGCGAGUGAGGGAUGGAGGCGUUCGGGAUGUGAACCUCUUUAGCGAUGAAGCAAGGCUGCCUUGUUUGUGCGUGGGUUGACGGUAGCUGGACAAGAAGCGACGGCUAACUACGUG
rnacentral:rRNA from 1 species